GGGGAUGUGGCUCAAGCGGUAGCGCGCUCGCGUGGCAUGCGUGCGGCCUGGGUUCGAUCCUCAGCACCACAUACAAACAGGGAUGUUGUGUCCGCCGAAAACUAAAAAAAUAAACAAAUAAAUUCUCUCUCUCUCUCUCUCUUAAAAUAAAUAAAUAAAUAAAUAAAGUUGAGUGUCUAAGCCAGGCAUGGUAGUACACAUCAGUCCCAGCUACUUGGAAGAUUAAAGCAAGAAGAUCACUUGAGGUUACAAGUUUGGGGCCAGGCUGGACAACAUAGCAAGAUCCCCUCUCUCUCUCUCUCUUUUCUGGUGCUGGGGAUUGAACCCAGGGCUUUGCACAUGCGAGGAAGAUCCUAUCUCUUAAAAAAAAAAACAAAAAAAAACAAAACACAAGAGUCCAACUCUAGGAACCUGAACUCCAAAGUAGGAUUUUCAUGGGACAAUCUUGCUCUGUUUCCCAGACUGGUUUCAAAUUCCUGGGUUCAAGUGACCUUCCUCAGCCUCCUGAGUAGUUGGGAUUAUAGGUUUGUGUCACCACAUCUGGCUCCAAGUAGUUUUAAAAGCUCUGUAGGGGUCUGGGGACUUAGCUCAGUGGCAGAGGGCUUGCCUGGCCUGCACUAGGCCCUGUGUUCCAUCCUGUGCAUCUCAAAACGAAACAAAGAUCACGCAGGGGAUCCUGACAUGAAAGCAGGCUGGGACCCUGUGUGUGUGCUCUGCCCACUGUAGGCAAUUUGUACAUUCCUGAGGGAACUCGGAGGUUUAAGGUUCUGUAUGUGAAUAACAUAUUCCAUUGAAGUCUGAUUCAAGAAAGAGGUUCUAGACAUUUCUGUUUGGAGUCUGGUGGGCAAGAGGCUGCCUCUCGGACUCAAGCAGAGUGCAGGGUUUGCUGUUGCAAGAAUGUACUCUUGGGAGGUUGGCGGCUAACAGAAUAUCUCCAGAUCUUCUGUUUUGAGGACUCCAUUUCAGACAUAUUAGGGGAG
rnacentral:lncRNA from 1 species